CGUGUAGGCGGACUGGAAGGUCUGGUGUGAAAGCCCGGGGCUCAACCCCGGAGGGUCACUGGAAACCAACAGUCUUGAGUCCGGAAGAGGAGAGUGGAAUUCCUGGUGUAGCGGUGGAAUGCGCAGAUAUCAGGAGGAACACCAAUGGCGAAGGCAGCUCUCUGGUACGUGACUGACGCUGAGACGCGAAAGCGUGGGUAGCAAACA
rnacentral:rRNA from 1 species